rnacentral:rRNA from 1 species
UACGGAGGGAGCUAGCGUUGUUCGGAAUUACUGGGCGUAAAGCGCGCGUAGGCGGCUUUGUAAGUUAGAGGUGAAAGCCCGGAGCUCAACUCCGGAACUGCCUUUAAAACUGCAUCGCUUGAAUCCAGGAGAGGUGAGUGGAAUUCCGAGUGUAGAGGUGAAAUUCGUAGAUAUUCGGAAGAACACCAGAGGCGAAGGCGGUUUCCUGGGCCGAUACUGACGCUGAGGCGCGAAAGCGUGGGGAGCAAACAGG